GACGAACGCUGGCGGCGUGCCUAACACAUGCAAGUCGAACGGAAAGGCCCUGCUUUUGUGGGGUGCUCGAGUGGCGAACGGGUGAGUAACACGUGAGUAACCUGCCCUUGACUUUGGGAUAACUUCAGGAAACUGGGGCUAAUACCGGAUAGGAGCUCCUGCUGCAUGGUGGGGGUUGGAAAGUUUCGGCGGUUGGGGAUGGACUCGCGGCUUAUCAGCUUGUUGGUGGGGUAGUGGCUUACCAAGGCUUUGACGGGUAGCCGGCCUGAGAGGGUGACCGGCGACAUUGGGACUAAGGGACGGACCAGACUCGUACGGGAGGCAGCAGGGGGGAAUAUUGCACAGUGGGGUGGAGCCUGAUGCAGCAGCGCCGCGUGCGGGAUGACGGCUUUCGGGUUGUAAACCGCUGUCGCCUGUGACGAAGCGUGAGUGACGGUAAUGGGUAAAGAAGCACCGGCUAACUACGUG
rnacentral:rRNA from 1 species